GAUUCCGUAGCUCAGCUGGUAGAGCAAUACACUUUUAAUGUAUGGGCCCUGGGUUCGAAUCCCAGCGGAAUCACCA
rnacentral:tRNA from 1 species